UACGAAGGGGGCUAGCGUUGCUCGGAAUUACUGGGCGUAAAGCGCACGUAGGCGGAUUGCUAAGUCAGGGGUGAAAUCCUGGAGCUCAACUCCAGAACUGCCUUUGAUACUGGCGAUCUUGAGUCCGGGAGAGGUGAGUGGAACUGCGAGUGUAGAGGUGAAAUUCGUAGAUAUUCGCAAGAACACCAGUGGCGAAGGCGGCUCACUGGCCCGGUACUGACGCUGAGGUGCGAAAGCGUGGGGAGCAAACAGG
rnacentral:rRNA from 1 species